rnacentral:rRNA from 1 species
UACAGAGGGGGCAAGCGUUGUUCGGAAUUACUGGGCGUAAAGGGCGCGUAGGCGGCCGCCUAAGUCAGACGUGAAAUCCCUCGGCUCAACCGGGGAACUGCGUCUGAUACUGGGUGGCUUGAAUUCGGGAGAGGGAUGCGGAAUUCCAGGUGUAGCGGUGAAAUGCGUAGAUAUCCGGAGGAACACCGGUGGCGAAGGCGGCUUCCUGGACCGACACUGACGCUGAGGCGCGAAAGCUAGGGGAGCAAACGGG